GCGACCGUGGCCUAAUGGUUCGAGCGUCCGCCUCGGAUACAUGCGGAAGGUCGUGGGUUCGAACCUCAGCCGAGUCAUA